GGACGGAGUCCCUGCAGAGGCUGCGGUGCCGAGAUCGCACUAUGGAAGACUUCCCGCGUCUGACUUAUCCGCGCUGAAAAGGAGGACGGGCCUCCCAGGCGGCUCAGCGGGCAGCUGACAACAUGGAAGCCCGCCUCCUGAGGGUUUCCAAGUGAGAGGAGAGGGGAUGGUGGGGGCAAGAGGAACGCUACAGGGACGGCCAUUACGCUCUUCUGUGCCUGGGCCUUGGUCGCAGUGUUCAUCACCUUUGCCGUGUUCUGUUCGUUAGAUGCAAGCCUCUACGAGGAGGAGUGAACACUGUAUUUAAGACGGAUAACCCACAAGGACCUACUGUAUAGCACAUGGAACUCCGCCUGGAUGCGAGGGCUUCCGGCUAGGCUCGGCUGAAAACCCAGGGAGCACAUGGUGCAGCGCUGAGGAGGAGGGGAGACACGGGGUAGGGAAGGCUCGCUGGACGGCGGAGCCUCCGCCCGUCCUCCAGCAGACCCCCGCCACGCAGAAAAGGAGGCAGAUGUGUCAGACCUUCUAACUUUUCAAAAGAAGCCAAAGUCCUGGUUUUUCACGAGACACUCAAUUUGUAAAUCUGACAGUCUAGCGAGCGCACACGAGGAUUGAGUUUUUGACCCUUCUCUUCAGCCGAGAAGGCGGGCCUCGCCUAUUCCACCACCCUUCACAGCUCUCUGCACGUGGCAAGGCAACAGCAGAUAUUGUUGAAUGAGAUACGACUUUGCUGACAUAUUAAGGAAGACUCCCCAAGUCCACCCUCACCUCGACCCAGAGGAGUGGGUGAAAGUGGGCUCUGAAUUAGCUGCAGUCCUGCCACCUGCUUGAUCUCGGACCCUUCACAAGUUACUUACUUUUGGGAGCCUCAGCUUCCUCAUCUAUGAGAACCACAGUACCUGCCUCAGAGCUGUUAUCGGAUCUUAAUGAAAUAAUAUACUCACUAGCACGAUGUGGCAACAAUAGGUUUUUUUUAAUUUCUUGUUCAUUUUGGCCGUGCUGGCUCUUCGUGGCCUCGUGUAGGCUUUCUCCAGCUGCGGCCAGCAGGGGCUCCUCUCUGCUUGCAGCACGCGGGCUUCUCAUCGCGGUGGCUCCUUUUGUUGUGGCAUGAGGGCUCUAGGUGCCCCAUGGCACGUGGGAUCCUCCUGGACCAGGGAUCGAACUAGCGUCCCCUGCAUUGCAAGGUGGACGCUAAACCUGUGGACCCCCAGGGAAGCCCUCAACAGGUACUUGUACUCGAAUCCACACACACAGACACACACACACACACACCCAUUUCCUCACUGGAUCCUUGGCAUGUCUCCCCUGAAUCCAUGUCAUCCAUCUACCGCCAUCCACCCGGCUGGCAGCUAGAGGGAGCCUUUAAAAUGCAGAUUUGUCAUUUUCACCGCCAG
ensembl:lncRNA